CACGUAGUUAGCCGUGGCUUCCUCCUUGGCUACCGUCAUUAUCGUCACCAAGGACAGAGGUUUACAAUCCGAAAACCUUCUUCCCUCACGCGGCGUCGCUGGGUCGGGGUUUCCCCCAUUGCCCAAUAUUCCCCACUGCUGCCUCCCGUAGGAGUCUGGGCCGUGUCUCAGUCCCAAUGUGGCCGUUCAACCUCUCAGUCCGGCUACCAAUCGUCGGCAUGGUGGGCCUCUACCCCGCCAUCUACCUAAUUGGACGCGAGCCCAUCUCUCAGCGGAUUGCUCCUUUGAUUGCAAAACCAUGCGGCUCUGCAAUGUUAUGCGGUAUUAGCGAUCGUUUCCAAUCGUUAUCCCCCUCUGAAAGGCAGGUUGCUCACGCGUUACUCACCCGUCCGCCACUCGAAUAUGCCCUUCCUCGGCCGAAGCCCUUGUCCAGCAUAUCCCCGUUCGACUUGCAUGUGUUAGGCGCGCCGCCAGCGUUCGUCCUCGAGCCGAGGACUACAACUACU
rnacentral:rRNA from 1 species